rnacentral:sRNA from 14 species
CGAGCAAAUGAGGCUUCCUCCUCUGUGGCGGGUUUCCCGCCGGAGGGAGCCGAUGUCCGAAAAUUUUAAAAGGCUAUCCCAAAAGUAGGGUUAGGC